rnacentral:rRNA from 1 species
UACAGAGGGUGCGAGCGUUGUCCGGAAUCACUGGGCGUAAAGGGCGCGUAGGUGGCGCGACAAGUCAGUGGUGAAAGUUCGACGCUCAACGUCGAAUCGGCCACUGAUACUGUUGGGCUUGAGCACUGUAGAGGCUAAUGGAAUUCCGGGUGUAGCGGUGGAAUGCGUAGAUAUCAGGAGGAACACCAAUAGCGAAGGCAGCUCGCUGGGACGUUACUGACACUGAGGCGCGAAAGCGUGGGGAGCGAACAGG